rnacentral:lncRNA from 1 species
CAGAGAUUUUCGGGCCAUUUAUAUCCUUACGCACGUUAUCUUUAUUUAUCUGUAGAGAGUUGGAUUCUGACCUUGUAUUCUCUAUAGAGAGACUUUGAUCUUAGUCUAUACCAUAAACUUAGUGUUAGUCUUGUAUCCUUGAGAGAGACUUUGAUUCUAUACAUUACUUUCAGGUUUAUAUAUGGCAUAGAGGCUCGGGUGAACUUGUUGGGACAUUG